AGAAUCAACGCUGGCGGCGUGCCUCAGACAUGCAAGUCGAACGCGAAAGUUCCCUUCGGGGGGCGAGUAGAGUGGCGCACGGGUGAGUAACACGUAGGUAAUCUACCUUCGGAUGGGGAAUAACAACCGGAAACGGUUGCUAAUACCGCAUAAUGCAGCGGCACCUAAUGGUGACAGUUGUUAAAGCGGGGGAUCGAAAGACCUCGCGUCUGAAGAGGAGCCUGCGGCGGAUUAGCUAGUUGGUAAGGUAAUGGCUUACCAAGGCUACGAUCC
rnacentral:rRNA from 1 species